AUGAGGAUCAGCUGGAGCGAGACAAUCAACACACAGGUGACAACAAUCAACCAAACGAGCACAUGGAGACUACCCAUCCAACCGACCCACAACAGGAACAAUGCCCACCCAGGAUAUCACCGGACUCACGCGCACUCCUGCAUAAUCGAAAAUGAGCAAAGAGGCGGGAGCUGGUUGCUGAAGCCACGGCAGAGUCAGCAGCGGCAAUCCACCUGUCACUCAAGUGGCCACGCCCUGAAUUUUGGAGAACUUUAAGGCUUAAUAUAAUUUAAAUGAAUGAGUUACAAAAAAAAUUCUCCCCCUUCACAGUUGUCAUGAAGGGCAAAAUUAGCUAUAUAGACCAAAAUCAUUUUUUGCACCAGGCUGUAAACAUGUUUUUUUCUGCUGUAAAGUUGGGCAUUUUAACAUGAGGAGUCUAUGGGACUGACUCCCUUUUGCAGCCAGCCUCUAGCGGCCAGUCGAUGAAUUACAGUUUUAGUCACUUCCUUGUUAGCUUCAGAGAGAGAGCGCGGGAGGUUGCACUUGGUGUAGACAUAACACAGUUAUUUUAAAAUUAUUUGCUAAAAAAAUAAAAAAUAAAAAAAUCAAUUAUAAAAAAUAUAAAAAAUUAAAAUUAAAUAAAAAAAAGAUAUUUGAUAGUACUGAUAAUAACCAUAAUCGGUUUGACAAUAUGCAGAAAAAAAAGUAAUAUAUAGACGGUUUCAGGCAACAACACAAACAAAGUUUACUGCGCAUGCGCACUUUUGUGGCCCUAACUUAAAGAGCAGUUCAAUCAGGACCACUUCCGUCAAGUAUAUUUAUGACAAUUAUAUUGCAUACAGUGUUGGCCGUAUGGUUAUGUUCUGGGCAACACUCCACAUACCUGUCCAUGGAGCCAUGCUUGGACAGAGCGGGGAGAGCAGCAAGACAAUAUACCUGUCCAUGGAGCCAUGCUUGGACAGAGCGGGAGAGCAGCAAGACAAUCCCCUCGGGUACCAUUAUAUGCAUACAUAAUUACAAAUCACAAUUACAUGAGUUGUAAACGAAAUGUGAUAGAGACUGCUUCCAAUGAAGAGACUGUAAAGAAAGAACAAAGUUAGACUGGAUUACAGGUUCAGUUGGUGGAGUCGGGUUGGAGGAGGGAGUUAAUUGCAAGCAGCGAUGCGACAGAAGAGACGCUGAAGAAUGGGAAUUUAAAUAGACAGCAUGUGAUAGGUGUCAAGACUGGAUUGUACACGUCAGGAACAGCUGACUGUCGGCUGAUGCAAGCGUGACUAACGUGGCCUGAAUGAACUAACGCGAUGCUGAAUGUCAUGGUUUUUUAAAGUGUCCUAAUAUUGUGUUGGAGUCCCUAAUGUAUCUAAGGUCAGAAAACACUGUAAUUUUCCCAGAAUAUACAUUUAUACAUAGAGUCAUUCGUCCAUGAUUUCAAAACGGUUCGUUUGAUUCAGUUCUGAGGUAACUGUCUGUAAGCUCCACCCUUAAAUCCCCCCUUACCCUGCUCUGGUUGGUCAGCUGGCCAAGCCUGUUCUGAUUGGCACAAAGAGGAGCUCUUGAGCAAGUUAGAAAGCGCAACCAUCUGUGUUGCUAAGUCCGUGGUUGUUUUUGAUAUCGCGGGUUGUAGCGACCCCAAUAACGUCAUUGAGUAUUUAGGCACUAAAAUGGCAAUUUACCAUGCCAACCCCGACUGAAAGCAUGUAUUUUACACUCCAUAAUGCAAUUUGUAAAGGGGGACCACCCUCAAAACACAAUUGGGCUAGUUCUGAGUAGCAAUUGGGCGGGUUUUAUUGUGACAACCCUGCAGCCCUAGCACGCACCUUUUCAUAAAACAAUAAUACAGUGCUCCAGUCAGUUCUUAAAAUAAUGACAUAAAAACAUUUUGUUUAAAAUGUAUGCAAGCAAAUCUGCCCACAGCUAAAGUUUAGCUGCUAAACUGUAAACACUUAACAAAACAAUAAUGCUGGAUACGUUAGCCGAGUGCUGACGUGACUAACUGAUGAAACAAUACAGUUUGAAAACCUAAAUAUGUCUACUGUAAUGUUUGAAGAACGAUGGACAAAAGACGCUCCGUGUCACCUUUAAUUAUAACGCAGAACAGCUGUAUCACAUGCGCACCAGCCUAACUAACUCGUCUCUCUCUACCGGGUCUUUAACUCUCUGCAUUAACCCUAUAACUACAUAAACAGCACUUUCCCUAUGAUUAUAAAGUCUGUGUGCUACACUACAUUCUGUAUUAUUAAACGAAGUAAUUAGAACAAGGACAGUCUACAAUAAUCGACACAUUCUUAGGAAAUAGUGGGUUCACAGCAAAUUAUCAGAACUACUUCAGUAAAACAGGAAUAUCAUGCUUUACCUGGAAACCCAAACCUGCACUAGGUAUACAUCACAUGUUAGCACAAAAAAAUAAUUAAAUAAAAACUAGAUAUUUUGAGCACUCAAUUGAAAAUGUACACAUAACGUAUCAAUCAUACUUACAGGUUGUGGUUCGGAGAGCUUGUUGUCCAAAUAAAGAAGAUUAGAAGCCAACGAAGAUAAAAGGCAAGAUUGGAGAAGCAGUCCUUGAUAAAAUGACAUGCACACAACAAAAUGUUCAAACUGUAUUUCUGUGGUAUCCCUGAACACAACAUCUUCUCGACACAGAGAGUGUUCGUAUUUGUGUGCAGGUGGGGUUUAUGCAAAUGUGUUACCCAGUGAUGUGUACCGGUAACAGGCAGAAGAUUCGAAAAUGAGAGACAAUAUCUUUAUUUAUCAUGCACUUUUUUUGAUUAACAACUUUGCAGAUUGUUUACAUUGAAGUACAUCUACCUUACAAACUAAUUUUUCAAAAACCCAUAUGACCUGCUCUUUCAUUUCUGGUAGACUUCCAAAUAGAAUCAAUAACAACAGCUAAGUAGAUUAUUUUUGAUAACAAGCCAAAUUAGUUUGCUGCAUAAAUCAGAUUUACUGAAAAUGCAAAUUCAUUCUCUGCCAGCAGGAGGUGCUUUAAAGCGGGAGAAAGGUUUUGAUAUUGUGAGUGCCACAAAUAAAUAAAUGUAUGUGAAACACAUCCCACAGCACAACCACCUGAGCCCAACGUCAGUCUACUCAUCACCUUCACUUUACCAGCGUUUGUACACACACAGACCGGAAGUUAUGUAACACUUUAUCGGUUAUUAUAACUGUAAACUAGCGUUCCCAGACAGUUGCAGGAUGAUUUUAUGUGACAGAAUGUUUUCUAUAAUGUAAUUUUUCAUAUUAAUCAUGAACUCAUUUUGUCAAGGACACAAGUUCAUAAAGAGACUGCUAAUAAAGUUUAUCUGUUUAAACGUAAACAAACACCAAGCUGACACACAAAAACACGCACAGCGUAACUAAUGAGUGAUUUACUGAUGUGUACACACCUGGAAAAGAGUUUCCAGACAUGAUGCUGGUCUUAGAAGGAGGGUGAACCAACUCCAGGGCAAGCAGCCAAAGCUAUUAAAUACAAACAUCAUGUCUUUUUAGGCAAGAACCAGACAUGGGUGUCAUGCAGGCUAAUAAAAUGUGUUUAAUGGGACUGAAUUUGUAUUUAAUGUGAUUACAAUCUAAUCAAAACAUUAGAAAUUGAUAAUUAUAUAACGUGUCCUUUCCACGGUUAUUCAAACGGUGAAUAAAUUACAUAGCCUACAAAAAGUGACAUUAUCACUAACUUUGAGCGAUGGCGAGAUUAAGCACUCUCAAAAAAAUUCUACACUGCGAAAUGAAUCUCUUAUUUACGCUGUACGUACAUCUGCGUUUUGUUUUUUAUGCCGAGAGGAUUCGCAAGAGUCCGGUUUCCAGUCAGCGAACGUACACACUCAACAAAGCUGCUGAGUUUCAGCGAUGACGCAUCUGAACGCAUCUGAUUGGCCAUUGCAUUCCUAAACUCAACAGAAUAGCGUGGGAUUGGUUAUAAUGUGCAAAACUUUGAAAACGCCUAAAAUGAAAUACGGUGCAACAUUAGCAGAUCUUAAUCUAAUGCCUCAAUCGAUUCGACACUUUCUAUUCCAGGGCUAUUCAAUUAGUUUCAAAAAUCAAAUGCAUAUUCAGCAGUAAAAUUAAUUCAUAUUAUCAACAGCAACGUCUAUGAAAGGUUAACAUUUGUGUUGUCUGUCAAAAAAAUAAAAAUAAAUUAAUCUUGACUAAUUCAUUAUUAAUAUAUUGUCAUAAUUUUACACUGAAUCUCCAAAUUAAUGUAGAAACAACAUAAAGAUUGUAUCUUCCUCUCAAUUUUAGCCAUUAAUUAUAGCUAUUGAAGUGUUAUUUUUAACAUUUAUGUGGGCUCUGAAAAAUAUAACAACUUUUAAUUUAAGUGAAUGUAGAACACAGUGGCGGCUCGUGGGUUUUAAAAUAGAAGAGGAAUACUAAUUGUGUUGGUCUGGGAUCCCUGCCGAUUAUUAUUAUUAUUCGGUUAACCACUUUAAAAUGGCUUUUUGAUUGCUUUUACUCAAAAAAAAAAAAAAAAAAAACGUAAAGAAACGACACGCAUACAACAAUAUAAUAUUAAUUCUACUUACCUGUCCUAUCACCUGGAGCAAACAUCCAUCUCUUACUUAAAAAUACUGUAGUUAAAAGAGCUGCUGUUGUGCACUUAAUAAGCUGACUGCUGUAUUCUAUAUCCAGCUUAGACGUGUUUCCCUUUUUUGUGUAUAUAUACUGUUUGAAUGACAGCUUGGUAAAUCUGUUGGUGAUCAAAUAGUCAAGUUCGCUGCUCAUCAUAAGUGCUUGGAUCAUUAUCAGCACAUCGCGAGACAUUCAAACUAAUAUCACGUAAUUUACGUCUCUUUGAUGAUUGGUUGAUAUACCAGAAGGAAGGCUAGCCUCCUUUACGAGGUUUCUUUUCUCAACACUCCUCAGCGCUGAAAGUUAACACUCGAUGCUGAUUGGCUUAUUUUUUUUUCUUUUUUUACGUACCCUAAAAUUAGUUACUUUUUUGUUUACUAUAUAUCAUCUAAAUAUUUAUAUAAGUGCUACCAGUAUUAC
rnacentral:lncRNA from 1 species